rnacentral:rRNA from 2 species
GCAGGGGGGACCAGCUAAUACAUGCAAGUCGAGCGGACAGAUGGGAGCUUGCUCCCUGAUGUUAGCGGCGGACGGGUGAGUAACACGUGGGUAACCUGCCUGUAAGACUGGGAUAACUCCGGGAAACCGGGGCUAAUACCGGAUGGUUGUUUGAACCGCAUGGUUCAAACAUAAAAGGUGGCUUCGGCUACCACUUACAGAUGGACCCGCGGCGCAUUAGCUAGUUGGUGAGGUAACGGCUCACCAAGGCAACGAUGCGUAGCCGACCUGAGAGGGUGAUCGGCCACACUGGGACUGAGACACGGCCCAGACUCCUACGGGAGGCAGCAGUAGGGAAUCUUCCGCAAUGGACGAAAGUCUGACGGAGCAACGCCGCGUGAGUGAUGAAGGUUUUCGGAUCGUAAAGCUCUGUUGUUAGGGAAGAACAAGUACCGUUCGAAUAGGGCGGUACCUUGACGGUACCUAACCAGAAAGCCACGGCUAACUACGUGCCAGCAGCCGCGGUAAUACGUAGGUGGCAAGCGUUGUCCGGAAUUAUUGGGCGUAAAGGGCUCGCAGGCGGUUUCUUAAGUCUGAUGUGAAAGCCCCCGGCUCAACCGGGGAGGGUCAUUGGAAACUGGGGAACUUGAGUGCAGAAGAGGAGAGUGGAAUUCCACGUGUAGCGGUGAAAUGCGUAGAGAUGUGGAGGAACACCAGUGGCGAAGGCGACUCUCUGGUCUGUAACUGACGCUGAGGAGCGAAAGCGUGAGGAGCGAACAGGAUUAGAUACCCUGGUAGUCCACGCCGUAAACGAUGAGUGCUAAGUGUUAGGGGGUUUCCGCCCCUUAGUGCUGCAGCUAACGCAUUAAGCACUCCGCCUGGGGAGUACGGUCGCAAGACUGAAACUCAAAGGAAUUGACGGGGGCCCGCACAAGCGGUGGAGCAUGUGGU